UACAUAGGUCGCAAGCGUUAUCCGGAUUUACUGGGUGUAAAGCGUCCGUAGGUGGUAUGUUAAGUCUGGAGUUAAAGCCCGGGGCUCAACCCCGGCCCGCUCUAGAUACUGACAAACUAGAGUUAUACAGAGGUUAGCGGAAUUCCAUGUGGAGCGGUGAAAUGCGUAGAUAUAUGGGAGAACACCAUUGGCGAAGGCGGCUAACUGGGUAUAUACUGACACUGAGGGACUAAAGCGUGGGGAGCAAAUA
rnacentral:rRNA from 1 species